CGGGUGAGUAACACGUAUCCAACCUGCCGUCUACUCUUGGACAGCCUUCUGAAAGGAAGAUUAAUACAAGAUGGCAUCAUGAGUCCACAUGUUCACAUGAUUAAAGGUAUUCCGGUAGACGAUGGGGAUGCGUUCCAUUAGAUAGUAGGCGGGGUAACGGCCCACCUAGUCUUCGAUGGAUAGGGGUUCUGAGAGGAAGGUCCCUCACAUUGGAACUGAGACACGGUCCAA
rnacentral:rRNA from 1 species